AGGGGAUACCCGACAUAUCCGCCGCCGACCAGGCGAAUAUGUUGGCAUUGGCCUUCAGUAGUUCCGCCAACUGUCGUUGCUCGGGGUCGGAUAAUUGAGACCCAACCCAUACCUUUCGGUCAGGAUUCUCCGCUAUCGGGAUGGGAACGAGCUGUUCGGCCAGUUCACCCCGUUAUUCCUCCUCCCGUUGGUCCAACUUAUCGAUCG
rnacentral:lncRNA from 1 species